rnacentral:sRNA from 1 species
GUUGGGUUAAUAACGGACAUCUCAUACCAUAACCUGUGGUCAUCUACCAUACUAUCAGGUGAUAUUGCUCGCGCACGUACGACCGUGUUAUCAUCACCAGAGUGUGCUAAGAGAAGAUUUUGGACUUCGGUGAUCUGGAGAAGCGAUUCUUGGGUCCCUAAAGGCAUCUCUUGGCCGUUGGAACUACCAAAAGAUUCGCAGCAUUGAUCAGUAAAAAUGGCAGGAGUUUGGUCGUGGAUGGGAUUCGAGUGAAAAUUACGAUUCUGGACAGGUCGGGCUCGAUAUACAAUUGGUCGAUGAGAUUUUGGAUUGCCUGGUCUAUCUCCUCAUCUCCUCGAAUGUAUUCAACUGUUCCCUUCACCACGCCCCUCAUAUCCCAGGUUUGCGCUGCGCAGUGGACAUUAACCGUUCCCAACACAUAUUCUGGUCUGUUUACAACUGCCGUCCCAGAUUCAUCGAUACUAACCACAAAAGUCUCAUCGUUCUUAGUUGUGCAGUGGAAUUCGUACCAAACUUGCCGACUCACAACUUCUUCGGAAAACAUUCGGCAUGAGAAAUCUCCCUGACUUUCAGGUAAGUCGAGAACAAAAUCGACAUCAGCGCCAGAUGUUGUUAGCAUGUUGGUGAAUAUUGUACUAGGUGUUGGGAGGUUAUUCUUGGGUUGAAAGUGGCGAUUCCAGGUCUUGGUAUCGAAGAUUACCUCCUUACACUCUUCGAUGAGCGAUCGACUUGCAAGUAUUAGGCCGAACUGAAUUUCAAGCGAAAUUGUUCCUGGGAAGCAUCGCACUCCAUUUAGAACUCGACUAAUGUGCUGAAGGAAGUCGUUGAGGGUAACCGCACGUUUUUCAUCUUCAUCCGCCUGUCGGGCCUUCUUCCAUUCGCUUAAUUGCAAGGAUUUACUAGAA